rnacentral:lncRNA from 1 species
GUUUAGCCAUCAUGCUCCACGCCCAUAGUCUAGCAACAUGAGUUGUUCUUGCUCUUGAGAGUUCUUCCAACUUCAAUCUUUUUGUCUAGCCGACUUAGUAUGUUCUCUACAACUUUAGAAUCAUUAUUAUAUUCAUGAUCCUUCUAGAAUUGUGUAGAACACAAAUGAACAUUAUUUUUCGACAGCUUUGAGCCAUUAAUGGUUAGUCUCUUUCUUUCUCAGGAGAAUUGAACUCCACUUCUCCUCACUUCUCAAAGAAAUGGAUAUUUGCAAACCUUCACUCCAAAGGACGCAGAAGACACAAAGACCCAAUUGCAGUUCUUCAAGAAAUUCAAGCCUUCUUUGGGCAUUCUUGGCGUCUUUUUGGUCACUCUUCUCUCUUCAUCAGCCGCUUCUCCUGCUUGGAUUGCAAUACAGUUCGUAGCGGGAUUCGUUCUCGUGGGGUUGCCUUGCUGGGUUUUAGAUGAUUUAUGUGUUAAUGAGAACGAACUGUGUGCCAUCUGCUCCAACCCAAAAAAAUAAAAUAAAAAUCGGUCUAGGCGCCCUGGGCGGAUCUUUUUGUUUUGUUUUGUUUAAUAUUUGUAAUUAUUUAAUAUCUCCUUAACAUGCUCCAAGGGCCUGCACCAACGGAAUUGCCAGGGUUCAAUAUCUCCCUAACAUGCUCCCAGAAAACCACAAUAUCACAAUAUCAGAAAGUGUAAUGGUAAACUCUAUAAAGGAAAAGAAUAGGUGUAGUUGGAAUAUUUAAGGAAAUUUUUUGGGUCAGCAGAGAAAUGAGCAACCUUUUGGUUUCAUUAGCGACAAUGAGUUUUCAUCUUUAAAAAUGCAAAAAUGCUGCAAGUUAAGAAAUUGUGACCUUGCAAGAGAAUGCUCGGAAAUGACAAGAGAUAAGUGGUGGUGAGAACAGGCUGCAUUCCUG